rnacentral:lncRNA from 1 species
AUAAUAGUUCUCACCCCCGUGUUGUUUUUGGGGAUACAGGUUCACACGUGAGCGGCGCAAUGGCGCGAGACAAGGGCGUAGUUUCGUAGAUAGCGCCCUGCCCCAGAGGCCAGAUAUAGCAGUACCCUGAGGUGCUCUAGCUUAGGAGUUUAAAAGACAAUGAAUCAAAGUUGUAAUAAAUUGUAAUAUCUAGAUUGUAAUUUGGAAGUUGAAUGUAAAAGAAAAUUGUGAUGAAAGAAUGUAUCUAGUGUGAAUGCUCGUAAUAGCAAGUAGUUUUAUAUUUUUGAUACUU